CCCUUUUUUAUUGAUUUUGUAUUUACAUUUGAUCACAUUUAUUUGUUCAGUGUAUGUUCACUUGUGUUUUGUCUUUUGAUUGAGUUAAGCUAUUUUAGUUGAUGUUUUACAGUGCAUCUUUCUUUGUUGUGAUGUUUCACUAUUGUUUAAGAUAAGGGUGAAGGUUGGUUCCUCUUAAAAUGUUUAAACCCUCAUUUGUUUGCACCUGUCAUAAUUCAGUUGUGUUUAGUAGUUGUCGUUUGUUGAUGUGGUUCAUAUAUUUUGUAAGUGUUGCUCGUUUAUCGUUCUUUUACAUAGAUUAGACCGUUUGAAUGGUCUCAUACUAGUCAUGUUUGCCUUGGGACCCUUUAUAGCUUGCUCUGCGAUGCUCCGUGUUGAAGACUGUAAUUUUACCUAUAAUGGUUUACUUUAUAAAUUAAGACUUGGGUGGAGAACUGUCUCAUUGGCACCAAUACCACUUCUUC
rnacentral:lncRNA from 1 species